UACGUAGGGGGCAAGCGUUGUCCGGAUUCAUUGGGCGUAAAGAGCGUGUAGGCGGCCAGGUAGGUCGGUUGUGAAAACUGGAGGCUCAACCUUCAGAGGUCGACCGAAACCAUCUGGCUAGAGUCCGGGAGAGGAGAGUGGAAUUCCUAGUGUAGAGGUGAAAUUCGUAGAUAUUAGGAAGAACACCGGUGGCGAAGGCGGCCCACUGGCUCGAUACUGACGCUGAGGUGCGAAAGCGUGGGGAGCAAACAGG
rnacentral:rRNA from 1 species